rnacentral:rRNA from 1 species
UACAGCAGCCAUAUCACCCUGCAACUCACAACUGGUAGCCCACUGAAGCUAAGCAGGUGUGAGCCUGGUCAGUACCUGUAUGGGAGACCUCCUGGGAAAAACUGCUGGAAGAGGUGU